AAUGAACGCUGGCGGCGUGCUUAACACAUGCAAGUUGGACGAGAAAGGCUGAUUUCGGUUGGCCGAGUAAAGUGGCGCACGGGUGAGUAACGCGUAGGCAACCUACCCUUGUAUUGGGGAUAACCCCGCGAAAGCGGGGCUAAUACCGAAUGAGACCCUGUUCUGGAGGGGACAGGGUGAAAGUCGGCCGCUCGGAGAAGCUGACGUACGAGGAUGGGCCUGCGUCCUAUCAGCUAGUUGGUAGGGUAACGGCCUACCAAGGCAACGAUGUUUAGGGGACCUGAGAGGGUGAUCCCCCAACUGGUACUGAGACACGGACCAGACUCCUACGGGAGGCAGCAGUGAGGAAUAUUGGUCAAUGGGCGCAAGCCUGAACCAGCCAUCCCGCGUGCAGGAAGAC
rnacentral:rRNA from 1 species